CUAGACCACACAGCCACUCAGGUAGACAAUAACCACUAGACCACACAGCCACUCAGGUAGACAAUAACCACUAGAUCACACAGCCACUCAGGUAGCAAUAACCACUAGACCACACAGCCACUCAGGUAGCAAUAACCACUAGACCACACAGCCACUCAGGAAGCAAUAACCACUAGACCACACAACCACUCAGGUAGACAAUAACCACUAGACCACACAGCCACUCAGGUAGCAAAUCAUUUAUUUGGCCUAUUGUUUGCCUUGAAUAUAUAAUAAAACAAUUGACCCCCCCUCAAAAAAAGAUUUUCCCUGAAGAAAAGUACACCUACCCCCUACAAAUAUGUCCACAUAAGAAUUCACAAAAGAUGUGAUGUAGCCUGCACGUAGCCUACAUAGCCCAGUGGACCUGAAGUCUAAUUAUUGUUUUGCCUACAAACACCUCUUUCAGCUGCCCCCUGCUGGCGAGUAAAAAAUAUUUAAUAUUCAUUCAAAUCCUCCUGCUUCAGGAUUAUUUUCCUCCUGUGACAAAAGGAGUCAAAUUAAGAUCCGACACAUGUAUGUGGUGAAGAGAGUCAAAGGGGCAAGUAGACACGGUUCCACUGUAACCAGUUGCAAAUGUUUUACGUCAAUCAAGAGAUUUGCAUACACUCAUUGUGAAGAAGGAGGAUAUUGUAGCAUUUAUAGCCACGGUUGUCAAUUGUACAAGUGUCCAAGAAGUCCUAGAAGCUGGACAUAAUUUUAUUUGCAGCCAACAGUUUUUGAGGGCUUCAAGACUUCAUAGCAGGACUACUGUCCCCAGAAACUAUCCUGCCCUCACAGGAUGCUUCUGAGCCUGUGUAGGGACUAGAGGUCAUCACAGGUCCAAAAAGUUCUGAAAUGGACUUGGGCUUCCCCACAUGGACCCAAUAUGCAUACAUUUUUGUUUUCGUUUUAAAUGUAGAGACCGGUUCCGAACGAAUUCGAAGACAACUAGACCCGUUCCAUAUAGACCUGGUCGAGUCCAGAACCGUGAGGGAAGCAGCAGAAAAUAUAUUUUUUUAACUACUUAACUGGAUCUUGGUGAAGUCC
rnacentral:lncRNA from 1 species